CCUACGGGAGGCAGCAGUGAGGAAUAUUGGUCAAUGGACGAGAGUCUGAACCAGCCAAGUAGCGUGAAGGAUGACUGCCCUAUGGGUUGUAAACUUCUUUUAUAUGGGAAUAAAAUGUUCCACGUGUGGGCUUUUGUAUGUACCAUAUGAAUAAGGAUCGGCUAACUCCGUGCCAGCAGCCGCGGUAAUACGGAGGAUCCGAGCGUUAUCCGGAUUUAUUGGGUUUAAAGGGAUCGUAGGUGGAUUGUUAAGUCAGUUGUGAAAGUUUGCGGCUCAAACGUAAAAUUGCAGUUGAAACUGGCAGUCUUGAGUACAGUAGAGGUGGGCGGAAUUCGUGGUGUAGCGGUGAAAUGCUUAGAUAUCACGAAGAACUCCGAUUGCGAAGGCAGCUCACUGGACUGCAACUGACACUGAGGCUCGAAAGUGUGGGUAUCAAACAGGAUUAGAUACCCUUGUAGUC
rnacentral:rRNA from 1 species